CAGGUUAGUUUUACCCUACUGUU
rnacentral:misc_RNA from 1 species